rnacentral:rRNA from 1 species
CAGUAGCCGCGGUAAUACGUAGGUGGCAAGCGUUGUCCGGAAUUAUUGGGCGUAAAGGGCUCGCAGGCGGUUUCUUAAGUCUGAUGUGAAAGCCCCCGGCUCAACCGGGGAGGGUCAUUGGAAACUGGGAAACUUGAGUGCAGAAGAGGAGAGUGGAAUUCCACGUGUAGCGGUGAAAUGCGUAGAGAUGUGGAGGAACACCAGUGGCGAAGGCGACUCUCUGGUCUGUAACUGACGCUGAGGAGCGAAGGCGUGGGGAGCGAACAGGAUUAGAUACCCGUGUAGUCCCUGUCUCUUAUAC